GGCCCAAGAGAUAGUCCAAUAUAAACGGAAGAGGUACCGAGGUAGGAGAAAGAUGUUUGGCAGAACACCAAUGUGUGAAUCGUUUCCACUUUUGAAGAUAGGUCUUGCGAGUAGCUUGCGUUCUGCUAUGUAGGAGCACCUCCUGAACUUGUUCGGAGCAAUCUAAUUCGCGUUGGGAGAACCACGUAGGAACCAGGCCUUGAGGUGAAGCAUGGACAGGUUGGGGUGGAGAAAACGACCGUGCUGCUGAGAUAGAAGGUUCGGAAUAAGCGGCAGGGAGAUUGGUGGUUGGAUUGACAUUCUGGUGAGGAAGGGAAACCAUGGUUGUCUGGGCCACGAUGGGGCAAUGAGGAUCACUUUGGCUCGAUCCGUUCGUAUUUUUAUCAGAACCCUGUUGAGAACUGGUAUCGGGGGAAACGCAUAGAAUAGGUUUCGGUGCCAUGAGAUCAUGAAUGCGUCCCCCAGGGAAUGUUUGCCCAGUCCUGCUCUGGAGCAGAAAUUGAGACAUUUCUUGUUCUUUGCAGUUGCAAAGAGGUCUAUUGUUGGGUAACCCCAGAUGCUGAAUACGUUGUGAAUGGUUUUCUCGUCUAUCUCCCACUCGUGGUCCCAUGGGAAGCGUCUGCUCAGUUCGUCCGCUGUGGUGUUCAUGAUUCCGGGAAGAUAAGCAGCUGAUACCCGGAUGUUGUUCACAAUGCACCAAUUCCAGAGCUUCAUAGCCUCUGUGCACAGCGAAUGGGAACGAGCUCCGCCCUGCCUGUUUACGUAAAACAUGCAAGCAAUGUUGUCCGUCAUUAUGCGUACGUGAUGAUGUUUGAUUAGUGGCAGGAAGUGACGGCACGCGUUGCGAAUGGCUCGAAGUUCUAGUACAUUUAUGUGCAGGGAGGUCUCGGUUGGUGACCAUAGUCCCUGUACUGUGUGAUGAGACAUAUGUGCACCCCACCCUGUCAUAGAUGCAUCGGUGGUCAGAAUGCGUGAUGGAGCCUGUUGAAGAAACGGGACUCCAGAACAAAGGUUGGAGUGGACGGUCCACCAACGUAGCGAGUCUUUGACUGGAGUAGGCAGGGAGAGAGUCUUGUUUAAAGAAUGCAUAUUCGGUUUGUAAACCGUUGCCAGCCACGCUUGGAAGCACCUCAUGUGUAGGCGUGCAUUCUGGACGACAAAAGUGCACGAGGCCAUGUGACCUAGUAGUUGCAGGCAGUCUCGGGCAGUUACCUGAGGGCUGUUGCGAAUAGUUGUGGUCAGUUGUUUUAUGGAAUUGUAGCGAUCGGGUGGGAGCGAUGCUAGCCCGGUCCGAGAGUCGAGGUCUGCGCCUAUGAACUGAAGGUGCUGGGUGGGGCGUAAUGUGGAUUUGUCUCUGUUUAUUUGUAGGCUGAGAGAAAGAAAGCACUCGACUGUGAGUCGUGUGAACCGGAGCGCCUCGUCGAAUGUUGAAGCUUUGAGGAGGCAAUCGUCGAGGUGUCUGGAGACCUAAAGACCGGAGGGUUGUUCUGGAGUCUUUCAUUGAAUGAAGCACUUCAUUCGUGUUAGCAGCAAAGAGUUUGUCACCGUCGAAGGGAAGAUCUUCAAUUGUGUUCUGAACUUCGCGAGGAAAAAAGGAAGAGGAGAGCCAUGAGCCCCGUCGCAUGACUAUCGCUGUAGCGGUAGAUCUUGCCGCUGUGUUGGCUACAUCGAGGGCUGCUUGGAGAGCGGUGCGUGAAAUGGCUUGGCCCUCAGAAACUAUAGCUCUGAACUGUUGUUUUCUUUGUUCUGGAAUGUCAUCAAUAAAGUCCAUUAACUUA